CAGUGGGUGCAUUAUGUAAAAUUGUGUAAAUUUUUACAUUCCAGUUUUUCCUCUCAAUUGGAGAAUCCUCUAAUUUUUCCCUAAUUUAUUUCCCUUAGUGUAUAGGAAUGGACAUAACUGAAUUGGUUGACUUUGUUGGGACAGUUGGUUUCGGUAAACCUAGGGAAGCUUCAUAAGUAAUGGUUUGUUUUGAUAUACGAAGUGGACAAACACAAGACAGCUCUUGGAAUGUAAAGGAUUUUUCAUAAUUAGCACUUCAAUUACAAAAACAAAAAGGGGGAGUCAAGGAAUCUCCUCAUUGACAUUUGGCGAUGGUAUCCUCAGCAAGACACCGCUUGAGAAGAGAAUGCCGUGCCAAAAACAGAGAAAGAAGAAGCAGGCGGUGCUGGAAGACCAAGGAGAAGAUGCAGCACAAAAAGGCAGCAAGACAUCAUGACUGUUUUUCAACAUGU